UACGGGGGGAGCAAGCGUUGUUCGGAUUUACUGGGCGUAAAGGGCGCGUAGGCGGCCACCGCAAGUCGACUGUGAAAUCUCUGGGCUUAACCCAGAAAGGUCAGCCGAUACUGCGGGGCUAGAGUGCAGAAGGGGCAACUGGAAUUCUCGGUGUAGCGGUGAAAUGCGUAGAUAUCGGGAGGAACACCUGCGGCGAAGGCGGGUUGCUGGGCUGACACUGACGCUGAAGCGCGAAAGCUAGGGGAGCGAACGGG
rnacentral:rRNA from 1 species